GUAAGAAUUCUUUUUUCAUCUUGAUCUGUUCUGACAAGAACCUUUUUAUGGAGAUGAUAUGAGUUUAUAACCUCAAAGUCAGAGAGAUGAAUGGAAAUGAUCAUAUACCAUGUGGCUCUACUAUUCCUGCCCUAGAGGCCAUUGCCCUGUGCUGGGUUGACGCGGUUUCUGUCUGCACAGCCUCCCUGCCUUUGGGGAGCCCUCCUCUCCUCUUCUGUGUGGCUCUGGUGAGAUUGAGUCCUAGUAGCUCCCCAUCUGGCUGCACAUGCACCAUAUGUAAGGUGGCUUGCAAUAAAACUUUUC
ensembl:lncRNA